rnacentral:rRNA from 1 species
GACGAACGCUGGCGGCGUGCUUAACACAUGCAAGUCGAACGGAAAGGCCUCUUUCGGGGGGUACUCGAGUGGCGAACGGGUGAGUAACACGUGAGUGAUCUGCCCUUCACUUCGGGAUAACUUCAGGAAACUGGGGCUAAUACCGGAUAGGAGCUCCUUCUGCUUGGGGGGGGUUGGAAAGUUUUGGGGGUGGGGGGUGGGCUCGCGGCUUAUCAGCUUGUUGGUGGGGUAAUGGCUUACCCAGGCAUUGGCGGGGAGCCGGCCGGGGAGGGUGACCGGCCACAUUGGGACUGAGAUACGGCCCAGACUCCGACGGGAGGCAGCAGUGGGGAAGAGUGCACAAUGGGUGGAAGCCUGAUGCAGCAACGCCGUGUGCGGGAUGACGGCCUUCGGGUUGUAAACCGCUUUCGCUCAUGACGAAGCUUUGUGUGACGGUAGCGGGUAAAGAAGCACCGGCUAACUACGUG